UACGUAUGGUGCAAGCGUUAUCCGGAUUUACUGGGCGUAAAGGGAGCGCAGGCGGCGCGCCAAGUCUGAUGUGAAACCCCGGGGCUCAACCCCGGGCAUGCAUUGGAAACUGGCGGGCUGGAGUGCCGGAGAGGUAAGCGGAAAUCCUAGUGUAGCGGUGAAAUGCGUAGAUAUUAGGAGGAACACCAGUGGCGAAGGCGGCUUACUGGACGGCAACUGACGCUGAGGCUCGAAAGCGUGGGGAGCAAACAGG
rnacentral:rRNA from 1 species